rnacentral:rRNA from 1 species
AAACUUUCAACAACGGAUCUCUUGGUUCUGGCAUCGAUGAAGAACGCAGCGAAAUGCGAUAAGUAAUGCGAAUUGCAGAAUUUCCGUGAGUCAUCGAAUCUUUGAACGCACAUUGCGCCCUUUGGUAUUCCGAAGGGCAUGCCUGUUCGAGCGUCAUUAU